GUGGGGAAUAUUGGACAAUGGGGGGAACCCUGAUCCAGCCAUGCCGCGUGUGUGAAGAAGGCCUUUUGGUUGUAAAGCACUUUAAGCGAGGAGGAGGCUACCGAGAUUAAUACUCUUGGAUAGUGGACGUUACUCGCAGAAUAAGCACCGGCUAACUCUGUGCCAGCAGCCGCGGUAAUACAGAGGGUGCAAGCGUUAAUCGGAUUUACUGGGCGUAAAGCGCGCGUAGGUGGCCAAUUAAGUCAAAUGUGAAAUCCCCAAGCUUAACUUGGGAAUUGCAUUCGAUACUGGUUGGCUAGAGUAUGGGAGAGGAUGGUAGAAUUCCAGGUGUAGCGGUGAAAUGCGUAGAGAUCUGGAGGAAUACCGAUGGCGAAGGCAGCCAUCUGGCCUAAUACUGACACUGAGGUGCGAAAGCAUGGGGAGCAAACAGGAUUAGAAACCCUGGUAGUCC
rnacentral:rRNA from 1 species